rnacentral:snRNA from 1 species
ACCUGCAGCAUAUCUUUUGUUCU